rnacentral:rRNA from 1 species
GAAAAGAAACCAACAGGGAUUGCCCUAGUAACGGCGAGUGAAGCGGCAACAGCUCAAAUUUGAAAUCUGGCCUCCUUCGGGGGUCCGAGUUGUAAUUUGCAGAGGGUGCUUUGGCGUCGGCAGCGGUCUAAGUUCCUUGGAACAGGACAUCACAGAGGGUGAGAAUCCCGUACGUGGUCGCCUGCCUUCGCCGUGUAAAGCCCCUUCGACGAGUCGAGUUGUUUGGGAAUGCAGCUCUAAAUGGGAGGUAAAUUUCUUCUAAAGCUAAAUACUGGCCAGAGACCGAUAGCGCACAAGUAGAGUGAUCGAAAGAUGAAAAGCACUUUGGAAAGAGAGUCAAACAGCACGUGAAAUUGUUGAAAGGGAAGCGCUUGCAGCCAGACUUGCUCGUAGUUGCUCACCCGGGCUUUUGCCCGGGGCACUCUUCUGCGGGCAGGCCAGCAUCAGUUUGGGCGACCGGAUAACGGCCUCUGUCAUGUAUCUUCCUUCGGGAUGACCUUAUAGGGGAGGCGUAAUGCGGCCAGCCCGGACUGAGGUCCGCGCAUCUGCUAGGAUGCUGGCGUAAUGGCUGUAAGCGGCCCGUCUUGAAACACGGACCAAGGAGUCUAACAUCUAUGCGAGUGUUUGGGUGUCAAGCCCGGACGCGUAAUGAAAGUGAACGGAGGUGGGAACCCUUUCGGGGGCGCACCAUCGACCGAUCCUGAUGUCUUCGGAUGGAUUUGAGUAAGAGCAUAGCUGUUGGGACCCGAAAGAUGGUGAACUAUGCUUGAAUAGGGUGAAGCCAGAGGAAACUCUGGUGGAGGCUCGCAGCGGUUCUGACGUGCAAAUCGAUCGUCAAAUUUGGGCAUAGGGGCGAAAGACUAAU